GCAUAACAGCAAAAAUUGAGAGGAAAGUGUGCACUGAGAUCAGUAGAUGAAAGACAUUUAAUGUCUUUUUUAGGUAUUUCUCAAGGGCCAGGAGCACCAGGCUGUGGCAUGUGCUUGUAAUCCCAAGACUCUGGGAGGCUCAGGCAGGAGGAUCAUGAAUUCAAGUCCAGCCUGAGAAACUCAACAACCUAGCCAGGACCUGCCUCAAAAAAUUUUUAAAAAGAGCUGGGGAUGUAGCUUAGCACAUUAAUUGGGUUUAAUACCCAGUGCUCCCCAAAAUAAAUGAAUAAAAUAAAAUAAAUUUAAAGGGUCUCCUUGUGAAGUUUUCAAGAAAUAUAGGUCCAUGCUAGUUCUUUAUUUUGCAGGAAUCAUUUCAGCAACCUUGGGAAAAUAAGAAGGUAUGAAAUUUCAGUGGGCAGACAAGCAGGGAGUGUGCUCCAAAGGAAAGCUGAUGAAACAAGGCCUGGGGUGACUGGAAUGAAACAAAUCCAUUCACAGGAUACGAUGAAGAACACCCAACUGAAUUGGAUCAGCAGAGCUCUGGGUGUGGCUGAGGAGAUUCACUGAAGAUAGAAGAUCCACACUGGCUGUGAGUGGUACCAACUCACAGGCUCCUCACGUGAAUGAAAUAAAAGGGAAAUGAAGAAGGAAGGCUCGCUUCUGUUUGUCUGGAGGAGUUCCAGUCUUCACCUCCACCUAGAACAUUGUGUCAUGUCUUCCUCCACAGACCUUUCAGCUUCCUGAUGUAGUCUCCUGGGUGAUACUACAGGACUUCGAUCUUUGACUAGAUCCUUUGGAUCUCCAGCAC
rnacentral:lncRNA from 1 species